rnacentral:tRNA from 1 species
GCGGGUGUGGUAUAAUGGUAGUACGUGUGCCUUCCAAGCAUAGAGCGCGAGUUCGAUUCUCGCCACCCGCACCA